CUUGGACGGCAGUAUCCAGAAGCCAAAAAAAUUGAGAAAGAGAAAGAAAAGGAGGAGAAAAGAAAAGAGAAAAAUGAAGGAAAAAAGGGGGAGAGGAAGAAAACUUGAGUUCCAUUAUUCAAUUCUUCAUUUCUCAAAGAGGAGAAGAGGUAAAUGUUUUAUGGUAUAAUUUAUAUUAAACUUUCUAGGUUUCUAAGUAGUUGGGUUAAUUUGAUGGUUUAAUUUUCAGAUUAAUGGGAAGAGUAUGAUUUUAAGCCGGCCUUUUUGAUUAAUGAAAGAUUUUUAUAUCAAGGUAAGAAAUAUUAAUUUUGGUAAACCCUAGAGUUUUUAAUUGAGUUCUUGAAUAUGUAUAAUUAGUGGAAAUUAUAGUUUUGAUGAAAUACACACUUGAAAGGAUUAAUAUAAUGAACAAGAUGUAAAUUAAAUUGGUGCAAGAGUGAAUUCAAGUUACACAAGAAUAGAAGAAGAAAUUGUUUUUAUGUUUGGGAUGAAGGUAAAUUUGGAUAUAUGGCGUAGUUGUGAACGUAUUGGAAAGUAAGAAUUAUUACAAAUUGAUUAAAGGAAAUUUAGGAAAAUUUCGCAAGUCUCGGAAAAUUUAUUUUAAUUAUCAUAUCAUUAGAGAUAAAAUGUUUCUUGAUUUUAAUAGUGGUUAAAUUAGUUAUUUUGUAAUGUAUUUCAGGUGGUGACAAAAAAAUUGGAAAAGUUUACCGACCGGCCUUGUCUGUAGCUCGUAUUGUGUGAGUGGAUAUAAACUUAUUUUUCAGAAAUUAGUAUUUAUAAAAAUUAUAUUAAAUCAGAAAAUUUAUUAAUUCAUACAGUUGAUUUGACAGCACGAUUUUCAGAAUAAAGUUGAUUUAUAAACAUUUGUUUUUCAAGUUAAAUUCAGUUAAGUUAAAUCAUUUUAUUGACAUAUAAUUUCAGUAUUAAAUAGUAUAGCAUAUUUAAAGUUAUUUUCUAAAAAUCACUAGAAAGUACUCAGGUGAUUUUACCUACUCCGUACUAGUGUGAAUGUGUUUCCACAGUAUAUGACUAGUUAUGAUAAUUUUACCCGCUCUGUACUAUUGUGAAUGUGUUUCCAUGGUGUAUGACCAGAUCUCUCUGCGCGCGUAUGACUAGAAUUUCAGAAUUAAAGAAUUUCAUAAUUGAAUUAUUUUGUCGUGUUUAUCGGUGCAAAUCGAUACAUGAGUAUAGUUAUUCCGAAUAACUUUUUGGUGUGAUUUUUCAGUAUUAUACAACUUAUUAGAUUUCAGAAUAUAUAAUUUAACUCAUUCAGUUUAAAGAAUAAAGAUUUAGCUUGAAGUACUGUGAAUAAUAUUUUUAUUAUAAACCAGUUUUUAGAAAAUUAACAUAAAUGAAAAUAGUAUAUUUGUUUACAAAAGUAUCCACUCAUUGAGUUACAAGUUCAUAUAUUUCAUCUCCAUUUUUCUUAUCAGACAGUAGCUGUGUUGAGUCGCAUCGGAGCCUGUUGAAUUACCGAAUUGAGCCACUUAGCUGUUAUUUGUAUGUUUCUUUUUAUCAAUUUUUAUAGUUCAUAAAUUUUGGGGUAGAUGCAUCUUUUGUUAGUUUAUAUCACGGGCUCACUGCAUUAUUUUGUAUAAAUAAUACAUUUGGAGUCCUUUGGUUUGUAAAGAAGUGUAAAUUCCAUUCCAACGCAUUUUAUUUUGAAUAGUUGUGUUUGUAAGGGCUGAUGUACCUUGUUUUAAAU
rnacentral:lncRNA from 1 species